CCGAGAAUUUUUCACAAUGGGCGAAAGCCUGAUGGAGCGACGCCGCGUAGGGGAUGAAUGGCUUCGGCCCGUAAACCCCUGUCAUUCGCGAGCAAACGUUAUUAUUUAAAAGAUGAUAGCCUGAUAGUAGCGAAAGAGGAAGGGACGGCUAACUCUGUGCCAGCAGCCGCGGUAAUACAGAGGUCCCAAGCGUUGUUCGGAUUUACUGGGCGUAAAGGGUGCGUAGGUGGUGGGGUAAGUCGGAUGUGAAAUCUCCGAGCUCAACUCGGAAAGUGCAUUGGAAACUACCCCGCUCGAGGGUUGGAGGGGGGACUGGAAUACCUGGUGUAGCAGUGAAAUGCGUAGAUAUCAAGUGGAACACCAGUGGCGAAGGCGAGUCCCUGGACAACUCCUGACACUGAGGCACGAAAGCUAGGGGAGCAAACAG
rnacentral:rRNA from 1 species